AAUGAACGUUGGCGGCGUGGAUUAGGCAUGCAAGUCGAGCGAGAACCGUAGCAAUACGGGGACAGCGGCGCAAGGGAGAGUAAUACGUGGAUACCUACCCUCGGGUCCGGGAUAGCUGCGGGAAACUGCAGGUAAUACCGGAUGACAUCUCCGGAUCAAAGGGGUGAUUCCGCCCGGGGAGGGGUCCGCGUCCUAUUAGCUAGUUGGUGAGGUAACGGCUCACCAAGGCUGUGAUGGGUACGGGGUGUGAGAGCAUGCCCCCGCUCCCUGGGAAGGAGACACUGCCCAGACACCUACGGGUGGCUGCAGUGGAGAAUCUUCGGCAAUGGGCGCAAGCCUGACCGAGCGACGCCGCGUGCGAGAUGAAGGCCUUCGGGUUGUAAAUCGCUGUCAGAGGGGAGGAAAUGCCGGUGGGUUCUCUCAUCGGUUUGACCUAUCCUCAGAGGAAGGACGGGCUAAGUUCGUGCCAGCAGCCGCCGUAA
rnacentral:rRNA from 1 species